GUGAGUCAUCGAAUCUUUGAACGCACCUUGCGCUCCUUGGUAUUCCGAGGAGCAUGUCUGUUUGAGUGUCAUGAACUCUUCAACCCACCGGUUUCUUGUAGACUGAUUGGUGUUUGGAUUUUGAGCGUUGCUGGUCUUGCUGAUCUAGCUCGUUCGUAAUGUAUUAGCAUCUCUAAUUCCGAUUUGGAUUGACUCAGUGUAAUAGACUAUUCGCUGAGGACACGCUUGUAAAGUGUGGCCGAAUUAGAUCACAGCAGAAGCUUCGAAUUCAUGUUGGUCAACUUUAGAUUAGACCUCAGA
rnacentral:misc_RNA from 1 species